rnacentral:rRNA from 1 species
GUGGGGAAUAUUGGACAAUGGGCGCAAGCCUGAUCCAGCCAUGCCGCGUGAGUGAUGAAGGCCUUAGGGUUGUAAAGCUCUUUCGCCGACGAAGAUAAUGACGGUAGUCGGAGAAGAAGCCCCGGCUAACUUCGUGCCAGCAGCCGCGGUAAUACGAAGGGGGCUAGCGUUGUUCGGAAUCACUGGGCGUAAAGCGCACGUAGGCGGAUUGUUAAGUCAGAGGUGAAAGCCUGGAGCUCAACUCCAGAACUGCCUUUGAUACUGGCAAUCUCGAGUCCGGAAGAGGUAAGUGGAACUGCGAGUGUAGAGGUGAAAUUCGUAGAUAUUCGCAAGAACACCAGUGGCGAAGGCGGCUUACUGGUCCGGUACUGACGCUGAGGUACGAAAGCGUGGGGAGCAAACAGGAUUAGAAACCCGGGUAGUCC